rnacentral:rRNA from 1 species
CUUGAAACCAUAUAAGAGGUCCAGCCUGCCCAGUGACUAAGUUCAACGGCCGCGGUAUCCUAACCGUGCGAAGGUAGCGUAAUCACUUGUUCUUUAAAUGAGGACUAGUAUGAAUGGCACCACGAGGGUUAUACUGUCUCCUUUCUCUAAUCAAUGAAACUGAUCUCCCCGUGAAGAAGCGGGGAUAAAUUUAUAAGACGAGAAGACCCUAUGGAGCUUUAAACUACGUGACACUGGCUUAUAUUCUACUGUGUUUCAGAAUUAUCACAAUUAUACUAGCUAGUAUGAUUACUAGUUUUAGGUUGGGGUGACCACGGAGCAAAAAUUAACCUCCAUGAUGAACGGAACCUAUUCCUGAGCUAAAAGCUACAACUUUAAGCACUAACAAAUUAACAUUAAUUGACCCAAAAUAUUGAUCAACGAAC